rnacentral:piRNA from 1 species
AAUCUGUCAUCCAGUUGACAAAGUCGAC